rnacentral:rRNA from 1 species
GACGAACGCUGGCGGCGUGCUUAACACAUGCAAGUCGAACGGAAAGGCCCUGCUUUUGUGGGGUGCUCGAGUGGCGAACGGGUGAGUAACGCGUGAGUAACCUGCCCUUGACUUUGGGAUAACUUCAGGAAACUGGGGCUAAUACCGGAUAGGAGCUCCUGCUGCAUGGUGGGGGUUGGAAAGUUUCGGCGGUUGGGGAUGGACUCGCGGCUUAUCAGCUUGUUGGUGGGGUAGUGGCUUACCAAGGCUUUGACGGGUAGCCGGCCUGAGAGGGUGACCGGCCACAUUGGGACUGAGAUACGGCCCAGACUCCUACGGGAGGCAGCAGUGGGGAAUAUUGCACAAUGGGCGGAAGCCUGAUGCAGCAACGCCGCGUGCGGGAUGACGGCCUUCGGGUUGUAAACCGCUUUCGCCUGUGACGAAGCGUGAGUGACGGUAAUGGGUAAAGAAGCACCGGCUAACUACGUGCCAGCAGCCGCGGUGAUACGUAGGGUGCGAGCGUUGUCCGGAUUUAUUGGGCGUAAAGGGCUCGUAGGUGGUUGAUCGCGUCGGAAGUGUAAUCUUGGGGCUUAACCCUGAGCGUGCUUUCGAUACGGGUUGACUUGAGGAAGGUAGGGGAGAGUGGAAUUCCUGGUGGAGCGGUGGAAUGCGCAGAUAUCAGGAGGAACACCAGUGGCGAAGGCGGUUCUCUGGGCCUUUCCUGACGCUGAGGAGCGAAAGCGUGGGGAGCGAACAGGCUUAGAUACCCUGGUAGUCCACGCUGUAAACGGUGGGUACUAGGUGUGGGGUCCAUUCCACGGGUUCCGUGCCGUAGCUAACGCUUUAAGUACCCCGCCUGGGGAGUACGGCCGCAAGGCUAAAACUCAAAGGAAUUGACGGGGCCCCGCACAAGCGGCGGAGCAUGCGGAUUAAUUCGAUGCAACGCGUAGAACCUUACCUGGGUUUGACAUGGAUCGGGAGUGCUCAGAGAUGGGUGUGCCUCUUUUGGGGUCGGUUCACAGGUGGUGCAUGCCUGUCGUCAGCUCGUGUCGUGAGAUGUUGGGUUAAGUCCCGCAACGAGCGCAACCCUUGUUCACUGUUGCCAGCACGUUAUGGUGGGGACUCAGUGGAGACCGCCGGGGUCAACUCGGAGGAAGGUGGGGAUGACGUCAAGUCAUCAUGCCCCUUAUGUCCAGGGCUUCACGCAUGCUACAAUGGCUGGUACAGAGAGUGGCGAGCCUGUGAGGGUGAGCGAAUCUCGGAAAGCCGGUCUCAGUUCGGAUUGGGGUCUGCAACUCGACCUCAUGAAGUCGGAGUCGCUAGUAAUCGCAGAUCAGCAACGCUGCGGUGAAUACGUUCCCGGG